rnacentral:rRNA from 1 species
AUUGCACGCUGGCGGCAGGCUUAACACAUGCAAGUCGAGCGAGCGGCGGACGGGUGAGUAAUGUCUGGGACACUGCCUGAUGGAGGGGGAUAACUACUGGAAACGGUAGCUAAUACCGCAUACCAUCAGAUGUGCCCAGAUGGGAUUAGCUAGUAGGUGGGGUAAGGGCUCACCUAGGCGACGAUCCCUAGCUGGUCUGAGAGGAUGACCAGCAACACUGGAACUGAGACACGGUCAAGACUCCUACGGGAGGCAGCAGUGGGGAAUAUGGCACAAGGGGCGCAAGCCUGAUGCAGCCAUGCCGCGUGUAUGAAGAAGGCCUUCGGGUUGUAAAGCACUUUCAGCGAGGAGGCGUUACUCGCAGAAGAAGCACCGGCUAACUCCGUGCCAGCAGCCGCGGUAAUAC